GCACGGGAGCCCCGCCCGCAGUGCGUGACGUGGGGCUGAGAGGGCGCGAGCCGACCGUCGAACCUGAUCUGGGUCAUGCCAGCGAAGGGAGC
rnacentral:ncRNA from 1 species